UUCUGACGCGUGGGUCCCGCAAUCAUCACCAACCUCGAGGCAAAAGGCCAGAGCGAGUCCGCGUUCUAACUGACUCGGGAAAAUCCCGAUUUCAUCACUGAUUUCGCUCGGAUUUCGUUGGCUUUUAGCCACAAAAUUUUGUCUAUAAAUACCUCAAUACCUCCUUCGUUUUUCUCCUUUAAAACCCUAUAAACAGCGCCGUCAGACUGCCUUAUUUCUUCGCUGGAGUUUCCCUCAACCGCCGCCGUGUUUUAUUGAUUCCGACGAGCACCAGGUAUCCCGCCGCCCCUUUUGAUCUUUAGUGGAUCCGCUUGUCCUUGAUCACCUCCUGACGUCCUCCUUUUAUUUAUACGGCACCGAGCGUCAAUGCCCGAAGGUCAAUGACAACUGCCACCGCUCCGUCCGCAUGUCGCCGACGUUCCGGGAUGAAAUCGAGCGCGCCGACCACUCUAUCGUCUUCCCCACAUCGAGCACAAUCACGUCAAUCAGUUCACCAACUCAGGGGAGAACCAGAGCACCACCAGUCCGCCACCAUCGCGCGCCUGACAGUACUGUUAAAUCCAGAUCUGAGGAUCCAUGUUAGUUCAAUAAACUGAACAGAUCGUGCGGAGUGUAACACGAAGAGCGCGAACGCCAACAAUAAAUAAG